GUCUUUGUAGUAUAUAAAAUACUCUGGUCUUGUAAACCAAAAAAGGAGAACACUUAUCCUCCCUAAGACU
rnacentral:tRNA from 1 species